rnacentral:tRNA from 1 species
GAGAGAGGUGAUACACGAUAAGAACUGCUAACUCCUAUAUCUGAGGUUAACUGCCCCAGCUCCCUCA